ACACACACACACACACACACACACACACACACACACACACACACACACACACGGGGCAGAGCAGAGAAAGGUAAUGUUAAAGUGAAUAUAACGAUGUCAGAUUAUUAACAGGCUUGGUAGUGAACGCUUGUCCAUUUGUUGUCCAUGAAUUAAUUUACCAUACUAACAUUAACUCAAUGGAUGUUUAAGAAGUUAUUAGGCAGUAGCUUACAUUACAUUUUAAAUAUAGGAUUUGUUCAACCUUCCCCAAGGAGAGGAUCUCUCAAGUCUUGAGCACUUGAGGCAGACAAUUGUUGAGGAAGUCAAGAAGACUGAGAUGGACCUACCCCUCAUUAAAAAGAUGAUGCACACCACAUUUGCACUGCGGCGACAGACCAUAGUGAGGACAUGCGCAGUAGUGAACGAGCUCAUGGACCUCUGGCCUGCUCUCAAAAUGGAGUCUGAGGUGUAUGCAGAGUUCCAACGGAUUACAAACCAGAAUCUGCUCAACACGUUCUACGCUGCUUUUGACCGCCAUCUUCCUCGACUGAUGGCCAUAUUUAGACAGAAGGCGUCCAAAUCUGGGAGACAGCUGAGGCUUUGGCUGAAAUUUUAAAAAUCCACAAUGAACAGGAAUUACACGACACCAGGCGUACCACCGUUAUCCAUUCCCCUCCUGUGUAUCUGCAAGAGGACACCUCUGGAUUUUUACGAACCUGCACAGAAGAGUCCGAAUCAGAGCUUGGAGGUGUUGCAGUGGCCUUCCUUACUGUCACCAGUGACAAUGGCACAAGUCAAGUGCAAUAUCAGCCUGUGACCAUCUCUGUUGUCAUCGAAAAUGAUAUUGUGGUCAGCCUCCCCAGACUUGCAGAUGCAUUCCUGGUAAUGUUUGGACUAAUUUAUGCACUACA